CUCACUGGUCGAGUCGGCCUGCGCGGAAGAUGUAACGGGGCUAAACCAUGCACCGAAGCUGCGGCAGCGACACUAUGUGUUGUUGGGUAGGGGAGCGUUCUGUAAGCCUGCGAAGGUGUGCUGUGAGGCAUGCUGGAGGUAUCAGAAGUGCGAAUGCUGACAUAAGUAACGAUAAAGCGGGUGAAAAGCCCGCUCGCCGGAAGACCAAGGGUUCCUGUCCAACGUUAAUCGGGGCAGGGUGAGUCGAC
rnacentral:rRNA from 1 species